UACGAAGGGGGCUAGCGUUGUUCGGAAUACUGGGCGUAAGGCGCACGUAGGCGGAUCGAUCAGUCAGGGGUGAAAUCCCAGAGCUCAACUCUGGAACUGCCUUUGAUACUGUCGAUCUAGAGUAUGGAAGAGGUGAGUGGAAUUCCGAGUGUAGAGGUGAAAUUCGUAGAUAUUCGGAGGAACACCAGUGGCGAAGGCGGCUCACUGGUCCAUUACUGACGCUGAGGUGCGAAAGCGUGGGGAGCAAACAGG
rnacentral:rRNA from 1 species